GACGCUGUCUCUCAUGGUUGUUUUCACUAAUUUCAGAAAUGGUCAGUGUCUUCAGAAAAAGUCCGUUAGCAUCUCAACUGUAAUGCUAACUACAAGAGUUAUUUUGAUGUCCACACUGUAAGAGUAUUAAUCGAUUCUUCCAUGCUGAUGGCCAUGCGUGUAUCCAGCUGAAGAACAUUUUUAGACAUUAUGAAACAUAUAACUAAGACUGAAAAUCAUUGAUAAACCACAAGGUAAUUGUGAAUAAACUUAUUGGAAGAGGAAUAAUAAGAAGAAAAGAAAAUGCAUGUGUGAUUUAAUAUUGCUUCUUAUUUUUCAGUGUUGAAAAGUUCUUUCUUGUCAUCUUUGUGCAUUUCAGAUGUUGUGCAUAUUUAUGGAUAAAAAUUUUUAACGUUGUUUAACUUUUUAACAUUAUAAUAUUGGUUGUCUUCUCUUUUUUCAGAGUUUAGCUCCAACCCCAGUUAAGCAGACCUGAGCAGCUGAUCAAGGAUCAGCAGAAACUCUG